CAGCAGCCACGGGAAUACGGAGGGUGCAAGCGUUAAUCGGAAUUACUGGGCGUAAAGCGCACGCAGGCGGUCUGUCAAGUCAGAUGUGAAAUCCCCGGGCUUAACCUGGGAACUGCAUUUGAAACUGUCAGGCUGGAGUCUUGUAGAGGGGGGUAGAAUUCCAGGUGUAGCGGUGAAAUGCGUAGAGAUCUGGAGGAAUACCGGUGGCGAAGGCGGCCCCCUGGACAAAGACUGACGCUCAGGUGCGAAAGCGUGGGGAGCAAACAGGAUUAGAGACCCCGGUAGUCCCUGUCUCUUAUAC
rnacentral:rRNA from 1 species